GUGGGGAAUAUUGGACAAUGGGCGAAAGCCUGAUCCAGCCAUGCCGCGUGUGUGAAGAAGGUCUUCGGAUUGUAAAGCACUUUAAGUUGGGAGGAAGGGCAGUAAGUUAAUACCUUGCUGUUUUGACGUUACCAACAGAAUAAGCACCGGCUAACUUCGUGCCAGCAGCCGCGGUAAUACGAAGGGUGCAAGCGUUAAUCGGAAUUACUGGGCGUAAAGCGCGCGUAGGUGGUUAAGCAAGUUGGAGGUGAAAUCCCCGGGCUCAACCUGGGAACUGCCUCCAAAACUACUGAGCUAGAGUACGGUAGAGGGUAGUGGAAUUUCCUGUGUAGCGGUGAAAUGCGUAGAUAUAGGAAGGAACACCAGUGGCGAAGGCGACUACCUGGACUGAUACUGACACUGAGGUGCGAAAGCAUGGGGAGCAAACAGGAUUAGAAACCCCGGUAGUCC
rnacentral:rRNA from 1 species